UAUGGUGGGAGACAGAAUUACCCUAUACGAGGUUGAGAGUAUGAGCUGCGGGUCGUAAAUGCACGACGAGCAGUUUCGAUAUAGAACUUGGGGCGCCUUUAACAGCGGUUGUAUGAAGAACCGCUUUUGGACAAGGAAUUAUCAACAGACGUAUAGAAAGACAGAAACCAACGCAGAUUUUUUCGUAUCUGAUGAGCUCCUCCGUCGCACCGCUGGUGGUAAGAUGGCUGUGCAGUUGGAUGGAGGAGGGAAGGAGGACUUGAAAACACAGUUUGUCACGCGGGAAGGAACUUAUAAGCUAAUGACUUUGUCGGAGUAUUCAAGGCCAAAUAGGGUCGGUUACACGAAUAGUCAAGGAAGCGCAUCCGUUAGAGUGUCUUUUGUAACUUUACCGGAUCCAGCGGAUCCUACGGGUACGCAAGGACUUGGUGAUCGAAUGUGUUUCAACUUUGGCAAAGAGCUUUAUAUUUAUGUCUAUCGAGGAGUUAAAAAGGCUGUGGACUUAAAUAAACCAGUGGAUAAAAAAUUAUAUAAAGGAACUAAUCCAACUUGCCAUAAUUUUAAUCAAACAACAGCAACUGCAGACAGUGCACCAUUAUUAGUUGGUUUCUCUACAGGACAAAUUCAAUUGAUAGAUCCAAUAAAAAAAGAACUUAGCAAAUUAUAUAAUGAAGAUAGAUUAAUAGACAAAAGCAAAGUAACAUGUAUAAAAUGGGUUCCUGGAUCAAAUAAUCUGUUCUUGGUAUCACAUAGUUCUGGACAACUAUAUUUAUAUAAUGAAGAACUUUUAUGUGGUACAACAGCUCCUCAUUAUCAAUCUUUUAAAUCAGGAGAUGGUUAUGCCAUAUAUACUUGUAAAACAAAAUCCACAAGAAAUCCUUUGUAUAGAUGGGUAAUAGGUGCAGAAGGAUGUUGUAUAAAUGAAUUUGCCUUUAGCCCAUGUGGUUCAAACUUAGCAGUUGUUUCCCAAGAUGGAUUCCUACGAGUAUUUCAAUAUAAUACAAUGGAGUUAGUGGGUUCAGCUAGAAGUUAUUUUGGUGGAUUUUUGUGUGUAUGUUGGUCUCCAGAUGGAAGAUAUGUUGUUGUGGGUGGUGAAGAUGAUCUUGUGACAAUUUGGAGUUUUCAUGAAAAAAGAGUGGUAGCUCGGGGUCAAGGCCAUCAUAGUUGGGUAAGCGUAGUAGCUUUUGAUCCUUAUACUACAUCUUAUGGAGAUCAUGAUCCAGACUUCAGUGGUUCAGAUGAUGAAACAUUACCACAUAAUAAUCAUAAUCACUAUCAUGAGAAGUCUAAUCGUUUAUCUACAACUUCACAAGGAAUUCAUUCAAACAGAAACUCUUGUGGUUCAGAAUUAAGAGUGUCAGGUGGUACAUGCUACAGGUUAGGUAGUGUGUCACAAGAUACUCAGUUGUGUUUGUGGGAUAUUACAGAAGAUGUGUUGAGACAACCAAUGUGUGCAAAGCAAAGGCCAUCUGCAGCAGGUUCUAGCAUUCUUCCUACAUCUGCAACAAUCAACAGUGGGAAUGGUUCAACGACAAAUCACCACUUGAACAAUUCUAAACAUAAUAAUUUGAAUAAUGUUAAUUGCAAAGAAAACGCGAGUGGUAAUAAUGAAAGUAGUAAUAAUAGCAUGAGUACAAAUACAGCAGUGUCAACUGUAAAUUCUUUGACACAAAGGUUAGCAGGGCUUGGCUUUGGUGAGCGUAAAGGUGAUAAUCAUAAAAGGAACUUUAGCCUCACUAUGAGAGGUAGUGGUGCAUCUAAUAGCACAAUAAUGCAAAACAGUGGUAGUGAUAAAACUACCACUAACUCAAAUACAAAUAGUAAUUUGAACAGUGUCAGUGGAAAUUUAGUAGGUCCAAAUAAGAAGGUUAGUUCUGUGAUGGACGAUCCUAUGAGGUUGAUAGGAACUGCCUGGUGCCCUAGGUUUGAUGAGUGCCCAGUGCUAGAACCACUGGUGUGCAAGAAGUUGGCACAUGAAAGAUUGACUGAAUUAGUGUUUAGGGAAGAUUGCUUUGUAACAGCGUGUCAAGAUGGAUAUGUCUACACAUGGGCAAGGCCUGGUCACAUGUGACAGUCUUAUAAUUUUAUCAGAAGAUGCUUGUGCUUGUUUCUUAAGCCGGUGGGACAUUAAUUUUUUACUUUUAUUGGAAAGAUUAAUGUUCUGUACCAUGCUUUGGCUGAUGCAAGAGAAUCAUGGAUGAAUCUUCCCAGAAUUUAUCGCAUGCCUGGAAUAGGACAGGUUGGAAAUGCUCUUCACGUUGUCAGUCCUGCAGAAAGUGGAGGUACUAUAGUAUAGCCAGAACCAGAUAUUAAUACAUUUUCAAAGCACGAAGAAGAAUACAUCCCAUUAAUGCGUGCAUUACAAUCUUCAAAAAUGCAGUUUCAACCAUAUACCCAUUAUCGACAUCUAUAUUACGUAUGGCCAAGUGAAAAUUAUUCCAGUAUUGUUUAAAAAAAUAGAUAAUUCCAAAGCAUCUAAAAA
rnacentral:misc_RNA from 1 species